rnacentral:rRNA from 1 species
GAUGAACGCUAGCGGGAGGCUUAACACAUGCAAGUCGAGGGGUAGCAUAGGGUAGCAAUACUCUGAUGGCGACCGGCAAACGGGUGAGUAACGCGUAUGCAACCUACCCUGUACAGGGGGAUAACCCGGAGAAAUUCGGACUAAUAUCCCGUAAUAAUAUCCGGAGGCAUCUUUGGAUAUUUAAAGUUCCGACGGUACGGGAUGGGCAUGCGUAACAUUAACUGGUUGGUAAGGUAACGGCUUACCAAGGCUAUGAUGUUUAGGGGUCCUGAGAGGGUGGUCCCCCACACUGGUACUGAGACACGGACCAGACUCCUACGGGAGGCAGCAGUGAGGAAUAUUGGUCAAUGGGCGCAAGCCUGAACCAGCCAUCCCGCGUGCAGGAAGACGGCCCUAUGGGUUGUAAACUGCUUUUCCAGGGAGAGAAACUUACGCACGUGUUGCGUGACUGACGGUACCCUGGGAAUAAGCAUCGGCUAACUCCGUG